UUAAGAUAUUUGAUCAACAAGAAUCAUUCAAGCUUGAGUUGAUCGAGCUUGCUUGUGGAGUGAUUGAGUCUCAACCAAAUAUUCUUGCCUUGAAAUAUUCGAUCAACAAGGUAAUCCGAAUCUUAAUUUCCUUAUAGUGAUUCCUUAUCAUGUUACGUGGGAGAUAUGGCUAUG